GUGCUUGCUUUGGCAGCACAUAUACUAAAAUUGAAACAAUACAGAGAAAAUUAGCAUAGCCCCUGUGCAAGGAUGACACACAAAUUUGUGAAGUCUUUCAUAUUUAA
ensembl:snRNA U6 U6 spliceosomal RNA